rnacentral:rRNA from 1 species
GAUGAACGCUGGCGGCGUGCAUAACACAUUCAAGUCGAACGGUGACGGAAACUUCGGUUUCCUGAUCAGUGGCGGACGGGUGAGUAACGCGUGAGCAACCUGCCCUAUAUUGCGGGAUAACAACCGGAAACAGUUGCUAAUACCGCAUGACGUAUUCGGAUCGCAUGUUCUGAAUACCAAAGAAUUUUGAUAUAGGAUGGGCUCGCGUCUGAUUAGCUAGUUGGCGGGGUAACGGCCCACCAAGGCGACGAUCGUUAGGGGUUCUGAGAGGAAGGUCCCCCACACUGGAACUGAAACACGGUCCAGACUCCUACGGGAGGCAGCAGUGAGGAAUAUUAGUCAAUGGUCGGAAGACUGAACCAGCCAAGUAGCGUGAAGGAUGAAGGUUCUAUGGAUUGUAAACUUCUUUUAUACGGGAAUAAAACCUCCCACGUGUGGGAGCUUGUAUGUACCGUAUGAAUAAGCAUCGGCUAACUCCGUG